AGUUAAGUGAAUAAGGGCGCACGGUGGAUGCCUUGGCACUAGGAGCCGAUGAAGGACGGGACUAACACCGAUAUGCCUCGGUCAGCCGUAAGUAGGCUAUGACCCGGGGAUUUCCGAAUGGGGGAACCCACCGCCCGUAAUGGGGCGGUCUUCCUAGCUGAAUACAUAGGCUAGGAAAGGCACACCCGGGGAACUGAAACAUCUCAGUACCCGGAGGAAUAGAAAGCAAACGCGAUUUCCUGAGUAGCGGCGAGCGAAACGGAAUCAGCCCAAACCAGAACGCUUGCGUUCUGGGGUUGUAGGACACUCCAUUGGAGUUACCAAGAGACAGGAUAGAGGAAUCGGUCUGGAAUGAUCAGCCAAAGAAGGUAAGAGCCCUGUAGUCAAAAUCCUGUUUCCUCCGGAGUGGAUCCUGAGUACGGCGGAACACGAGAAAUUCCGUCGGAAUCCGGGAGGACCAUCUCCCAAGGCUAAAUACUCCCUAGUGACCGAUAGUGAACCAGUACCGUGAGGGAAAGGUGAAAAGCACCCCGGAAGGGGAGUGAAAUAGAACCUGAAACCGUGUGCCUACAAGUAGUCAGAGCCCGUUAAUGGGUGAUGGCGUACCUUUUGUAGAAUGGACCGGCGAGUUACGAUCCCAUGCAAGGUUAAGUUGAAGAAACGGAGCCGCAGCGAAAGCGAGUCUGAAUAGGGCGAAAUAGUAUGUGGUCGUAGACCCGAAACCGUGUGAUCUACCCAUGUCCAGGGUGAAGGCCAGGUAACACUGGCUGGAGGCCCGAACCCACGUACGUUGAAAAGUACGGGGAUGAGGUGUGGGUAGGGGUGAAAUGCCAAUCGAACACGGAGAUAGCUGGUUCUCUCCGAAAUAGCUUUAGGGCUAGCCUCAAGGUAAGAGUCAUGGAGGUAGAGCACUGAUUGGACUAGGGGCCCUCAUCGGGUUACCGAAUUCAGUCAAACUCCGAAUGCCAUCGACUUAUCCUUGGGAGUCAGACUAUGAGUGAUAAGGUCCAUAGUCGAAAGGGAAACAGCCCAGACCGCCAGCUAAGGCCCCUAAGUGUACGUUAAGUGGAAAAGGAUGUGGAGUUGCUUAGACAACCAGGAUGUUGGCUUAGAAGCAGCCAUCAUUUAAAGAGUGCGUAAUAGCUCACUGGUCGAGUGACUCUGCGCCGAAAAUAUACCGGGGCUAAACGUACCGCCGAAGCUGCGGAUUGUCCUUCGGACAAUGGUAGGAGAGCGUUCUAAGCGCUGUGAAGUCAGACCGUGAGGACUGGUGGAGCGCUUAGAAGUGAGAAUGCCGGUAUGAGUAGCGAAAGAAGAGUGAGAAUCUCUUCCACCGUAAGUCUAAGGUUUCCUGAGGAAGGCUCGUCCGCUCAGGGUUAGUCGGGACCUAAGCCGAGGCCGAAAGGCGUAGGCGAUGGAUAACAGGUUGACAUUCCUGUACCACCUCCUUUCCGUUUGAGUGACGGGGGGACGCAGUAGGAUAAGGGAAGCGCGUCAUUGGAAGAGCGCGCCCAAGCAGUGAGUGUGAUGCAUAGGCAAAUCCGUGCAUCAAACACAAGCUGUGAUGGGGAGGGAACUAUAGUACCGAAGUCCCCGAUUUCACACUGCCUAGAAAAGCCUCUAGCGAGGAAAGUGGUGCCCGUACCGCAAACCGACACAGGUAGACGAGGAGAGUAUCCUAAGGUGAUCGGGAGAACUCUUGUUAAGGAACUCGGCAAAAUGACCCCGUAACUUCGGGAGAAGGGGUGCUUCUUCAUAAGAAGAAGCCGCAGUGAAAAGGCCCAAACGACUGUUUAGCAAAAACACAGGUCUCUGCGAAACCGAAAGGUGAAGUAUAGGGGCUGACACCUGCCCGGUGCUGGAAGGUUAAGAGGAUGAGUUAGCCGCAAGGCGAAGCUCUGAAUCGAAGCCCCAGUAAACGGCGGCCGUAACUAUAACGGUCCUAAGGUAGCGAAAUUCCUUGUCGGGUAAGUUCCGACCCGCACGAAAGGUGCAACGAUUUGGGCACUGUCUCAACAAGAGACCCGGUGAAAUUAUACUAUGCGUGAAGAUGCGCAUUACCCGCGACAGGACGGAAAGACCCCGUGGAGCUUUACUGUAGCCUGAUAUUGAAUGUUGGUACAGUUUGUACAGGAUAGGUGGGAGCCUUGGAAACCGGAGCGCCAGCUUCGGUGGAGGCAUUGGUGGGAUACCACCCUGACUGUACUGACAUUCUAACCCAGGGCCGUGAUCCGGCCCGGAGACAGUGUCAGGUGGGCAGUUUGACUGGGGCGGUCGCCUCCCAAAAGG
rnacentral:ncRNA from 1 species